AUUUAUAUCUUGUGUUUGUUCUUGCAAGUUUGUGAAAAUACAACUGUUUCAUCAUGUCUGAACUUAAAAAUCAAGUUAACUCAGAAAAUAAAAAAAGGGAUAUAGAUUAUGUUCCAUCCGAGCUGUCUAAAUUAAGCACUAGGAGUUCAGAGAGUGAUAGAAGAAGCGAUAUAGAUAGCGCUUCAGAAGGAGAAACUGCUAGGAAGGAAGACAAUAAAACAUGGCGCAUCAAAUUUAAAAUGAUAACAAAAGGUGAAAACCCCACUUAUGAGAUCGUGAAGCCAAGCGAUAAGAGGGAUGAAUUGAACGAAAAAACGCUACCUCGCAAAGAGGCAAAAAAAGGAAGAACGAAGAAGCCGAGACAGAAAAGGCAAAAAGAAGGAAGACAAAAAAGGCAAAAAAAAAAGAGACAGAAAAGGCAGAAAGAAGGAAGACCGAAGAAGCCGAGACAGAAGAGGCAAAAAAGAAGAAGAGCGAAGAAGCCGAGACAGAAGACGCAAAAAUGAGGAAGGGCGAAGAAGCCCAGUCAAAAAGGAAUGAAUCAAAGUUGGGACCAAAGGAGGUAUUCCCAGACGGCACUAAUUCGAAGGAUCCUAAGCACGAGUCAAAGUCGCCGCCAUCAAAAUCUAGCCCGAGUCAAGAGAGAGUAAUAGAGAAGCUUUAUGUGCCUAGUAUAACAGAACUCAACUUGAUUCGGAUGUCCAUGCAUCACUUGGAAAAAAUGAUGGUUAUGCCAUGUUUUGCAAGUCUAGCAAUAGGCUGUUUUGUUAGAAUUGGAAUUGGCCAAAACGGGAAUGAGAUUUAUGUAGCUGCACAAAUAUUGGAUGUUUGUGAAACAUCCAACGUGUACAUGGUAGGAAGUACAAGAACGAACAAGGCAUUCGAAGUACGAAUCGAAAAGGAAUAUAAGGUCUUCAGAUUUGAAUUCGUUUCUGAUGAAGAUAUCAAUGGUAGCGAAUACCACCAAUGGCUAAAAACGCAUAUAGAUACCAAAGACCCUUUUCCAACCAAAGAACUGGUAAAACAAAAACAAAGAGAUAUAAGGGGCGGUAUGACAUAUGAAUACAACCCCCAAGAAAUUGAAAGAGCUAUCAAGGAAAGGGAUAGAUUUUUACCGAAAACCACACAAUAUACGAAUAAUGAGGAGCAUAUUUGCAAAAGAAAAAGAAGCAGCAAUGAAAAAAAAAGAUUACGACAGGGCCAAUCAAUUGGACAUUAGGUUGGAUGAGUUGGAUCAAAUGUGGAGGAAUCUUGAAGAAGCCGCUAUUGCGCAGAAACACGCGGCGAAUAACGCAGAAGAGGCUUUUGAUCCUUUCACAAGACGUCCCACAAGACCUGCACCAAGAGUGGUACCUAAACCACCACCACAACCAAGAACGGCAGAAAGCAAUGGUCCUUUUAAAGAUCAUU